GGGUCCGAGGCAACAUACCGUGUUAGCGGUUGGUGAUACUUUUGCCGGUUUGCUUGACCAGUAUGUUGAUGAGCUCGAUCAUGUCUCGUAUCGCUUUGGUUCUUCACGAUACAGAGAUAUCUAACCGAUACCGAUUGCGUGGACCUCCUAGCGGCACAUACCAAUUAAGCGGAUCUCUUAGGCCACUAACAUCAGUUUUUGAACCUGUAUUGUACUGGGCAUCAAUUUAAACGGCUCNCCUAGGCGACUAUCCCUAGCUGGUCUGAGAGGAUGACCACCCACACUGGAACUGAGACACGGAUCCACACUCCUACGGGAGGCAGCAGUGGGGAAUAUUGCACAAUGGGCGCAAGCCUGAUGCACCCAUGCCGCGUGUAUGAACAACGCCUUCGGGUUGUAAAGCACUUUCAGCGGGGAGGAAGGCGAUAAGGUUAAUAACCUUGUCCAUUGACGUUACCCGCAGAAAAAGCACCGUCUAACUCCGUGCCCGCAGCCGCGGUAAUACAGAGGGUGCAAGCGUUAAUCACAAUUACUGGGCGUAAAGCGCACGCACGCGGUCUGUCAAGUCAGAUGUGAAAUCCCCGGGCUCAACCUGGGAACUGCAUUCAAAACUGGUUCGCUAUAGUCUUGUAGAGGGGGAUAGAAUUCCCCGGGUACCCGCGAAAUGCGUACAGAUCUUGAAGGAUACCCGUGGGCAACGCCCCCCCCUUUACAAAUACUGACCCUCCAGUGCGAAAACGUGGGGGAGCAAAAAAGAUUACAUAACCCCGGUAGUCCCCCCCCCAAAACCAUCAGGCUAGAUUUUGGUAGAGGGGGGUAGAUUUCCGGGUGAAGCGGGGAAAUGCGUAGAGAUUGGAAGAAAUACCGGUGGCGAAGGCGCCCCCCGGGACAAAGACUGACGUUCAGGUGCGAAAGCGUGGGGAGCAAACAGGAUUAGAUACCUUGGUAGUCCACGCCGUAAACGAUGUCGACUUGGAGGUGGUCCCCUUGAGGCGUGGCUUCCGGAGCUAACGCGUUAAGUCGACCGCCUGGGGAGUACGGCCGCAAGGUUAAAACUCAAAUGAAUUGACGGGGGCCCGCACAAGCGGUGGAGCAUGUGGUUUAAUUCGAUGCAACGCGAAGAACCUUACCUACUCUUGACAUCCAGAGAACUUAGCAGAGAUGCUUUGGUGCCUUCGGGAACUCUGAGACAGGUGCUGCAUGGCUGUCGUCAGCUCGUGUUGUGAAAUGUUGGGUUAAGUCCCGCAACGAGCGCAACCCUUAUCCUUUGUUGCCAGCGGUUAGGCCGGGAACUCAAAGGAGACUGCCAGUGAUAAACUGGAGGAAGGUGGGGAUGACGUCAAGUCAUCAUGGCCCUUACGAGCAGGGCUACACACGUGCUACAAUGGCGCAUACAAAGAGAAGCGACCUCGCGAGAGCAAGCGGACCUCAUAAAGUGCGUCGUAGUCCGGAUCGGAGUCUGCAACUCGACUCCAUGAAGUCGGAAUCGCUAGUAAUCGUGGAUCAGAAUGCCACGGUGAAUACGUUCCCGGGCCUUGUACACACCGCCCGUCACACCAUGGGAGUGGGUGCAAAAGAAGUAGUUAGCUUAACCUUCGGGAGGGCGUAUCAUAGAGUCCCGCAAA
rnacentral:rRNA from 1 species